rnacentral:rRNA from 1 species
GACGAACGCUGGCGGCGUGCUUAACACAUGCAAGUCGAACGGAAAGGCCCUGCUUUUGUGGGGUGCUCGAGUGGCGAACGGGUGAGAAACACGUGAGUAACCUGCCCUUGACUUUGGGAUAACUUCAGGAAACUGGGGCUAAUACCGGAUAGGAGCUCCUGCUGCAUGGGGGGGGUUGGAAAGUUUCGGCGGUUGGGGAUGUACUCGGGGCUUAUGAGCUUGUUGGGGGGGUAGUGGCUUACCAGGGGUUUGACGGGUAGCCGGCGUGGGAGGGUGACCGGCCACAUUGGGACUGAGAUACGGCCCAGACUGCUACGGGAGGCAGCAGUGGGGAAUAUUGCACAAUGGGCGGAAGCCUGAUGCAGCAACGCCGCGUGCGGGAUGACGGCCUUCGGGGUGUAAACCGCUUUCGCCUGUGACGAAGCGUGAGUGACGGUAAUGGGUAAAGAAGCACCGGCUAACUACGUG